AGCUUGGUGGCAUAAUGGUAAUGUGCUCUGUAUUCCUAUGUACAAGGUAUGGUUCACGGAAGGUUCGGAGUUCAAUUCUCCAUCGAGCCA